CCUACGGGUGGCAGCAGUGAGGAAUAUUGGUCAAUGGCCGCAGGGCUGAACCAGCCAAGUCGCGUGAGGGAUGACGGUCCUCUGGAUUGUAAAUCUCUUUUGUCAGGGAGCAAAGGACGCCACGUGUGGCGUUUUGCGAGUACCUGAAGACAAAGCAUCGGCUCACUCCGUGCCAGCAGCCGCGGUCAUACGGAGGAUGCGAGCGUUGUCCGGAUUUAUUGGGUUUAAGGGGUGCGCAGGCGGAAUGUCAAGUCAGCGGUAAAAUUUCGGGGCUAAACCCCGUCGUGCCGUUGAAACUGGCGUUCUUGAGUGAGCGAGAAGUAUGCGGAAUGCGUGGUGUAGCGGUGAAAUGCAUAGAUAUCACGAAGAACUCCGAUGGCGAAGGCAGCAUACCGGCGCGCAACUGACGCUCAGGCACGAAAGCGUGGGUAUCGAACAGGAUUAGAUACCCCAGUAGUC
rnacentral:rRNA from 1 species